UGGGGUCAGAGGAGCAUGUGCUGAGCCCAGAUUGGUGGAGCCCAGCACAUGCUCAUCUGACCCGAGCAGGGGGCGGGGCUACAUCGGGAUCUUCUGCAGCUCUGCUGCUCUUCUCCUGGGGCCUGGCUGGCAGUGGAAGAGGAGGGAGGAGCUGUUGGAGGCUGCAAUUCAUCAAGGCAUCUUCCGGAUGAUCGGAUCUCCUACAUGAAUAGUGAAUACCGACUGAAGACGCCAUCUGCCUCAGAGGAUACAGUUCUUCAGAGGUUCCAUAUUGUGAGAAACCAUCACACAGGAUAGUGCCAAGAGAGGAGAUGCAACCGAUCGCUGAUAGGAGUGGAGCCGGGUGCUUCUCAUAUCCAGGACCUGCCCCUUCUUAGCAUAAUGAUGCAAACAAUGGGGCCAAAAUUAUGCGUUCUCCAAGAUUUAUGCUCACCAUCCCGCUCAUUUCAGUGGGAAGCAGGCAGGAUGCAGGAGGGUCACCUACUCUUCUGGGAGUCCAUGGGCCACACCGAAAUUCAAGAGUCUCUCGGAUGUUCCAGGAGAAUAGGUAGCAUGAGAUUCUCGGAGUAAUGCACAAACAAAAUUUCAGUUUGCAGACUGAUAGUGUUGAAUUUUUAGGACAUUUCUUGCUGGGUUCACAACCAUUUUCCCUUUGUGAAAAGACAUGAUUUCUGCACCAACUAUGAGAUGGAAGAGAUUGUCCUAUACUGCAAUGCAUCUUUUGCCUUUCCAUUGUACUUCAGCUGUGAAGUGCUUUUCUAGGAACGCUAUGAUCAAUGUAAGACAAAGCCUCAGGAACACAAAAGUGACAUCUACAACAAAAGACCCACUCUCGUGAUUAGUUUAAGUCAUAACUUCGGCUCAACCAAGCAGUAUUUUAACAGAAAACCACUCUGCAUGUGCCAGCGCAAAGGUGGUUCAUACAGAGAUUGCACAGGACCCUCUCCUUUGAUAAAACACCUCUAGGAAGAUGUCAGUUUGUUGAUGUGGUGUUUCCACUUGUGCCCCUCUGUAUAUCAUAGUACAUCUCUCUGUUUGUUAUUUACUAAGAGCAGGAUGUAGAUAUAACAUCCCAUUAGACUAAGUAAUAAUGUAGAGUUAUAGGGGUCUAUUCAUGAAACAAUGAAAAGUGUUGAGAGAAGGACCAGUGGAGAAGUUGCCCAUAGCAACCAAUCAGCUUUGAAUGAAGCCUUUAUCAAGUACAUUUUGUAAAAUGUAAGGGAGAUGCUGAUUGGUUGCAUGGGCAACUUCACCACUGGUCUGUUUCUCCACUGUUUUCACUGCUUCAUGAAUAGACCCCAUAUUAACAGCCAUGAUUUUUCCACGAUGAGGCUUUUAGUACAUUUUAGGGCAGCAAUAAUAACCCCUUGUUCGGUGAUGAUGCAGAAAAUGGGGUUAUCACUGUUUUUGAUACUUGUCCCCUUGGGUUCCUAUUUCCUGCUGUAUGUGCUCAUUUGUAGAGGAAGUGACGGGGCGACACACUACUGAGAGUUACAUACACUAAAAUGAAUAAGUAGCACUGUCUAACAUUUGUACAGUAGACUCUAGUGGGCUGCUGGAGACAAGUCCACCAUACAUGCAGCAACCAGCAUCAUUUUACAUUUAGCUCUAUGCCAUGUAGAAUAUAACAAUCAUAUUAAUUAAGUUACGAAAUAAGUGGUUCAUGACACUCGCUUUUUCAUCCUCAGUUUAGUUAAUUAUACCACUUUUCCACCAAUUUUAUAACUCCGAUUGAGGUUUGGUGGGAAAGGGUCUGAAUAAUAUAACCCAUGUAAAGGUGUCAACGUGUGACCUGUGUCAUCCAACUCGGUUCUUGCUAAAAGCAUAGUUAGAGUUGGACCACCAGCGGAUGGAGAUGAUGUCAUCUCCAACUGCCGGCACAGGGAAGACCCGCCAAUAACUCUAGACCAGGCUAUGGUGUGAAUGGCAUGGAACCGUGUUCAAUCGGGUGGUCUUUAGUAUGCCAGCUGUCGGGCUCCCGGCGCCGGUAUGCUGGUCGCCGGGAGCCCGACCGCCGGCAUACUGAAGACCACCCGUCACAAACCCCAACAUGCCUAAGCAAACACUACUAAUUAUCUUGUGAUCUCUAAUGAACAGCUAAUGGCCAGUAACAAUUAACUAAAAUACAGCUACUUGAUUGAAAAUAAUAUGUGGACCAUCCCCAGCAUUGUGAUAUAAAUACUGAGACGGAUAACUGCACUGUCAGCAAUGAGUAGAUGGUUGGUCAAGGGAUAAUUAGUAACAGCACAUAUUUCUGUAUUCAUAUGUCAGUGCUAUUGGUCGGACUAAACCUUCUAGAAGAUAUUCUCUCUAUCUGGCUCCCAUCCUGGUAUUUAAUGCCAAAUUAUGAUGUGAUCUCAUAUCCGAGAAAAUACACUAUGGAUUUUUCUGCUUCUGUAGAUUAACUGUAAAGAUAAUUUAUUGUCUUUAAAACUAUAGAUACUUUAGUAGAGAUAUCACAUAAUUCAGUCUGCCUGAUUGAAUAUUGGUGUCUGCACUU